GACAGAGGGUGCGAACGUUGUUCGGAAUUACUGGGCGUAAAGCGCACGUAGGCGGAUACUUAAGUCAGGGGUGAAAUCCCGGGGCUCAACCCCGGAACUGCCUUUGAUACUGGGUAUCUCGAGUCCGGAAGAGGUGAGUGGAAUUCCGAGUGUAGAGGUGAAAUUCGUAGAUAUUCGGAGGAACACCAGUGGCGAAGGCGGCUCACUGGUCCGGUACUGACGCUGAGGUGCGAAAGCGUGGGGAGCAAACAGG
rnacentral:rRNA from 1 species